rnacentral:ribozyme from 14 species
AACAAAGUUAUAAAAGUUGUAAAUUUGUUUGAAAAGUCGUAUGAGUUAUGCGUCAAGUUUCUUCGAGUUCUCUUUCUCUUUCUCUUUCUUGCGUUAGCUUUGUAAAAACUGAGGGAAUGCGACAUAUGAUGCAUCAAA